rnacentral:sRNA from 1 species
GAUAAAGGUCGUCACAUGAAUUACUCAUA